UCUAGAUAGUCAAGUUCUGAUC
rnacentral:miRNA from 1 species